rnacentral:pre_miRNA from 1 species
GAAAUACUCCGUCCGUCCGGAAAUACUUGUCAUCAAAAUGAAUAAAAGGAGAUGUAUCUAGAUGUAUUUUAGUUCUAGAUACAUCCCUUUUUGUCCAUUUUGAUGACAAGUAUUUUCGGAUGGAGGGAGUAGUUG